GAUGAACGCUGGCGGCGUGCCUAAUACAUGCAAGUCGAGCGAACAGACCAGGAGCUUUCUCCUCUGACUUUAUCGGCGGACGGGUGAUUAACACGUGGAUAACCUACCUAUAAGACUGGGAUAACUUCGCGAAACCGGAGCUAAUACCAGAUAAUAUAUUGCACCUCAUGGUUCCAUCGUUAAAUACGGUUUUGCUUUCACUAAUAGAUUGCUCCGGGCCGCAUUAGCUAGUUGGUAAGGUGACGGCUUAACAAGGCAACGAGGCGUAGCCGACCUGAAAGGGAGGUCGGAUACCCGGGAAGUGAGACACGGUCCAGACUCCUAGGGGGGGACGCAGUAGGGACUCUUACGCAAGGGGGGAGUGCUGGACGGUGGAACGCGGGGGGAGUGCUGAAGGUCCUAGGAUCGUAGAACUAUGUUAUCAGGGAAGAAGAAAUGUGUAAGUACCUAUGAACGUCUUGACGGUACCGAAACAGAAAGCCCCGGCUAACUCCGUG
rnacentral:rRNA from 1 species